GACGAACCGAGCGAACGUUAUUCGGAAUCACUGGGCUUAAAGGGUGCGUAGGCGGGCCCGUUAGUCAGGGGUGAAAUCCCACGGCCCAACCGUGGAAGUGCCUCUGAUACUGCGGGCCUGGAGGGGGAUAGGGCGUGCGGAACUUCCGGUGGAGCGGUGAAAUGCGUAGAUAUCGGAAGGAACACCGGUGGCGAAAGCGGCGCGCUGGAUCCCUACUGACGCUGAGGCACGAAAGCCAGGGAGCAAACGGG
rnacentral:rRNA from 1 species